rnacentral:rRNA from 1 species
AGGAUUAACGCUGGCGGCGUGCCUAACACAUGCAAGUCGAACGAGGUAGCAAUACCUAGUGGCAGACGGGUGAGUAACGCGUGGUCAACCUACCGUUGAGUGGGGGAUAACUAGCCGAAAGGUUAGCUAAUACCGCAUACGUGUCCGAGGGGCAUCCCUUGGCCAUAAAAGGAGCAAUCCGCUCGAUGACGGGACCGCGUCCCAUUAGCUAGAUGGUGGGGUAACGGCCUACCAUGGCACCGAUGGGUAGCUGGUUUGAGAGAGCGACCAGCCACACUGGGACUGAGAAACGGCCCAGACUCCUACGGGAGGCAGCAGUGAGGAAUUUUCCGCAAUGGGCGCAAGCCUGACGGAGCGACGCCGCGUGUGGGAAGAAGGCCUUCGGGUCGUAAACCACUGUCGAAGGGGACGAUAAUGACGGUACCCUUGGAGGAAGCCCCGGCUAACGUACGCGCCAGCCAGCCGC